rnacentral:lncRNA from 1 species
GAGAACAAGUUAUCCAUGACAUUAUAAGAUUCAAGGCCGGGUUGAAUAGGGACAUAUCUUCAUGCAUGACCCUCCAUAAAUUUGACACUAUAGAUUGCAUCUUCUAAGCUACAUUGGAGAUUUAAAGAGAGAUCUUGGCUUACAAGUCUAAGGGUCACCAACAACCUUUCUCGGAUUAGCACAAAGACAAGGAACACUCAUUCAAUGCCAGCCAACCUAAG